AUAAAUAAACGCCUACUCGGAGUCGCCAUGAUAGAAGUUUAAAAAUUCAUGGAAGGUCAUUGCCUGACCAUGGACGAGCGUUGGGCCCGCGAUGUGUUACGGUGUCGUCUCUGUAAGACCCCUGGCCCUCCUAUGUACUGUGACAUUUGUCACAUACAUCUAUGUAAAGCCUGUGUGGGGGAACAUCUAGCAGAUCAAUCCAAAGAACACAAAGUGUUGCCAUUUGAAAAGCGGGGAACUACUCCAAAUUACCCUAAGUGUCCUAAACAUUCCACAAAACAAUGUGAACUUUAUUGUGAACAAUGUGACAUUCCUAUUUGCGCACUCUGUAUUUCUGAGGAAUUACAUUUAGAACAUAAACCAGUUGACAUUGUUAAACAUAGCAAAAGCAAAAAAGACUUUUUGCACAGAGAAAUGCAAGAAUUAGAGAAAUCCAUUUAUCCCAAAUAUCAACAGAUUGUCUCUAAUAUCCCAGUUCUUAAAGCUGUUCUGAAUGAAAAUAGCCAGAAAUUGACAGCAGCAAUAGACAAACAUGGAGAGGCCUUGCACAGAGAUAUAGACACCAUGCUCCAGAAACUGAAAUCUGAUCUGAAUGAAAUAGACUCCAAACACCUGGCCGUCCUCAACAAACAGGAAAAUGAAAUUACACGCACCAUUUCUAAAAUCACACAGAGCAUUGCUGAUAUGAAGAAGUUACUGGACUCCAAUGAUGUCAGCCGUGUCUCUGCCUACAAAUCAGUGAUUGCUGAAUUCAGAAGAUUGCCUCCUAAACUCACAGUUUCCUUACCAAGUUUUUCCCCUCAGAAGAUCAACAAAGAACAGCUUGAUCAACUGUUUGCUUCUCUAUCAGCAUCAUUUUUAAAACAGAAGAACAAGUCUACUCCAUGGAUUCCUCCGAUGCUGCGUUCUCUCCCCCGGACAGACCGCUCAUUGAUGUACCACGGAUCAUCACAGAGAUAAACACCGAGUAUGGAGAGUCUAAUGGAUUAUUCAGUGUUUCCUGUCUGAGGGAUGAAGAACUCUGGACGCGUGGUCAGGACAACAAGAUGAGUCUUUACAACCUGCAGGGAGAACUAGUGAAGUCAGUCAAUACCAAGUCAGGGUAUCAACCAAGCGACAUUGCAGUGACGAGGAGUGGGGAUCUAGUUUAUACUGAUUACAAUGAUAGAACUAUGAACAUUGUGAAAAAUAAAAAGAUAAAUACAGUGAUCAGACUAAGGGGGUGGAGACCUCUCGGUGUCUGUAGUACCUCCUCUGGUGACCUCCUGGUUGUCAUGGACACUGAUGAUAAACAAUCAAAAGUUGUGUGUUACUCUGGCUCCACAGAGAAACAAAGUAUUCAGUACGACGACAAAAGACAACCUCUCUAUUCAUCUGGUGACAUUAAAUACAUCAGUGAGAACAGGAACCUAGAUAUCUGUGUGUCAGACCAUGGAGCCCGUGCAGUAGUGGUGGUCAAUCAGGCCGGAAAAUCCAGGUUUACCUACACUGGUGCUCCCUCUACUACCAAGGGAUCAUUUAGUCCAGUCGGCAUCACAACAGACAGCCAGGGUCGGAUCCUGACAGCAGACUGUGACAACCGUAUCCACAUCCUGGAUCAGGACGGACAGUUCCUCCGCUACAUUGACAACUGUCAUUUACGGUAUCUAUGGGGUUUAUGUGUGGACACCAGAGACAACCUCUUUGUGGCUGAGUGGUUCACAGGUAAAGUGAAGAAAAUCCAAUAUUACAUGUAAACAGUGUGUACAUCUACCUAUAUAAACAUGUAAACCGUGUGUAUUCCUACAUUUACAAUAUGAAUUUAUGGGUUUGUUACAUUGUAUAAGCUGUUUAUAUAUGCGUCUUCCAUAUGUAAUAUUUAAACUUUACUACUCCAGUAAACUGAAUAUAUAAAGCACUAAAAGUGGCUAACGACACAUGAACAAUUGAAAUUUUCAAAUUUUCGGGACAACCAGUCAGAGUUGGACAUCAAAUUUUACAUCAAAUUUUACAACCUUGUAAUGGUGCCAAAUGGUUUUAAAUAAAUGUAUUAACUUCUCAGCUAUUAAAAUAAACUCCCAGUUGAGUUUUUAAAGAAGGCCAAGGAUUAACCAAAAUUAUAUCCACCAAAUUUAAUGGUUUACCUUUAUUCUUGGCCGAAAUCCACCAUAUUUGUGUCCCGCCAAAAAACCGGCUUUACAUUAUGUUUAAAUACUAUAUGUAUAUAUAGGAACAUUUCUGUGGUUUUGUGCGCAAAUAACAUGUAUUGCUUAUAUGUACAUAUGUCGUGUGAAUAUGUAAUCAUACGGUUAUAGAUUGUGUUUGCAUGAAACCAUACUGGUAUAUAUUGUGUAUGAAAAAAUACUGUAUAUUAAGUUGUUUGUUUCUUAUUAUUUAAAAGAGGGAAACAAUUAUAAAAUAAAUUUUUUGGAUAU
rnacentral:sRNA from 1 species